GGAUGGGUAGGGGAGCGUCGUGUGCCGGGUGAAGCUGCGCCGGAAGGCAGUGGUGGACGGUUCACGAGUGAGAAUGCAGGCAUGAGUAGCGAUACAUACGUGAGAAACGUGUGCGCCGAUUGACUAAGGGUUCCUGGGUCAAGCUGAUCUGCCCAGGGUAAGUCGGGACCUAAGGCGAGGCCGACAGGCGUAGUCGAUGGAUAACCGGUUGAUAUUCCGGUACCCGCUGUGAAGCGUCAAACAUCGAAUCCAGUGAUGCUAAGGCCGUGAAGCCGCCCUGAUCUCUUCGGAGUUGAGGGGAGUGGUGGAGCCGCUGACCCGAUCUGGUAGUAGGUGAGUGAUGGGGUGACGCAGGAAGGUAGUCCAGCCCGGGCGGUGGUUGUCCCGGGGUAAGGGUGUAGGACGUGAUCCAGGCAAAUCCGGAUCACACAUAGUCUGAGACCUGAUGCCGAGCCGAUUGUGGUGAAGUGGAUGAUCCUAUGCUGUCGAGAAAAGCCUCUAGCGAGUUUCAUGGCGGCCCGUACCCUAAACCGACUCAGGUGGUCAGGUAGAGAAUACCGAGGCGUUCGGGUGAACUAUGGUUAAGGAACUCGGCAAAAUGCCCCCGUAACUUCGGGAGAAGGGGGGCCAUUCCUGGUGAUGAGAUUUACUCUCUGAGCUGGGGGUGGCCGCAGAGACCAGCGAGAAGCGACUGUUUACUAAAAACACAGGUCCGUGCGAAGCCGUAAGGCGAUGUAUACGGACUGACGCCUGCCCGGUGCUGGAACGUUAAGGGGACCGGUUAGUCACUCUUCGGGGUGGCGAAGCUGAGAACUUAAGCGCCAGUAAACGGCGGUGGUAACUAUAACCAUCCUAAGGUAGCGAAAUUCCUUGUCGGGUAAGUUCCGACCUGCACGAAUGGCGUAACGACUUCUCGACUGUCUCAACCAUAGGCCCGGUGAAAUUGCACUACGAGUAAAGAUGCUCGUUUCGCGCAGCAGGACGGAAAGACCCCGGGACCUUUACUACAGUUUGAUAUUGGUGUUCGGUUCGGCUUGUGUAGGAUAGGUGGGAGACUGUGAAGCGGGCACGCCAGUGUUCGUGGAGUCGUCGUUGAAAUACCACUCUGGUCGUGCUGGAUGUCUAACCUGGGUCCGUGAUCCGGAUCAGGGACAGUGUCUGAUGGGUAGUUUAACUGGGGCGGUUGCCUCCCAAAGGGUAACGGAGGCGCCCAAAGGUUCCCUCAGCCUGGUUGGUAAUCAGGUGUUGAGUGUAAGUGCACAAGGGAGCUUGACUGUGAGACUGACGGGUCGAGCAGGGACGAAAGUCGGGACUAGUGAUCCGGCGGUGGCUUGUGGAAGCGCCGUCGCUCAACGGAUAAAAGGUACCCCGGGGAUAACAGGCUGAUCUUCCCCAAGAGUCCAUAUCGACGGGAUGGUUUGGCACCUCGAUGUCGGCUCGUCGCAUCCUGGGGCUGGAGUCGGUCCCAAGGGUUGGGCUGUUCGCCCAUUAAAGCGGUACGCGAGCUGGGUUUAGAACGUCGUGAGACAGUUCGGUCCCUAUCCGCUGUGCGCGUAGGAGUCUUGAGAAGGGCUGUCCCUAGUACGAGAGGACCGGGACGGACGAACCUCUGGUGUGCCAGUUGUUCUGCCAAGGGCAUGGCUGGUUGGCUACGUUCGGAAAGGAUAACCGCUGAAAGCAUCUAAGCGGGAAGCCUGCUUCGAGAUGAGGACUCCCACCCCCUUUGAGGGGUUAAGGCUCCCAGUAGACGACUGGGUUGAUAGGCCAGAUAUGGAAGCCCUGUAAGGGGUGGAGUUGACUGGUACUAAUAGGCCGAGGGCUUGUCCUC
rnacentral:rRNA from 1 species